CCUCCCCAGUGAGGUGGGAAUCCACACAAACACGCCUGCCUUUAAAACAAGAAAGGGGACGUAUGACUGCUGUAAGAUCAAUUCGAAACGGGACAGGACAAGCCGUUGUCUUGUUAUAAGUUUUUGGUUUGCCUUCACUUUUCUUUGAAUAUCAUUCGUUACUAACCCGCUACCUCAGUUAAAAAUGUACAGAUAUUUCGGAGAAUUACUUACUCGUGGUGCAAGCAGUGCUCUGGCCUCGGGAUGUGUUGAGUCGGCUCUUCCAGUUACCGCGUCAUUGAUGAGGGUGCGCCACUACAGCGAGGUCGUGGGAGAGAAAGAUGCAGAUGACCCCAACUUCUUUAAAAUGGUGGAGGGAUUCUUUGACCGCGGUGCUAAUAUUGUUGAGGACAAACUGGUGGAGGACCUCAAGAACAAGGAGACGCCAGUGCAGAAGAGACACAGAGUUCGCGGAAUUCUCAAGAUUAUCAAGCCCUGCAACCAUAUACUGAGUGUAUCGUUCCCCAUCAAGCGAGACAACGGCGAAUGGGAGGUGAUUGAGGGGUAUCGUGCCCAGCACAGCCAACACAGGACCCCCUGUAAAGGAGGUAUCCGCUACAGCACCGAGGUGUCGGUCGAUGAGGUGAAAGCCCUGGCCUCGCUGAUGACAUACAAAUGUGCUGUCGUGGAUGUUCCAUUUGGAGGAGCCAAAGCUGGAGUGAAGAUCAAUGUAAAGAAUUACACUGACAAUGAACUGGAGAAAAUCACCAGAAGAUUCACCAUUGAGCUGGCCAAAAAGGGUUUUAUUGGACCUGGCAUUGAUGUCCCUGCCCCUGAUAUGAGCACUGGAGAGAGGGAAAUGUCCUGGAUUGCUGACACCUAUGCCAACACCAUGGGCCACCAUGACAUCAACGCUCAUGCCUGUGUGACUGGUAAGCCCAUCAGCCAGGGUGGCAUCCACGGAAGGAUCUCGGCCACCGGGCGAGGAGUAUUCCACGGCAUUGAGAACUUCAUCAACGAGGCGGCCUACAUGAGCCAGCUGGGCCUGAGCCCUGGCUUCACCGACAAGACCUUUGUCAUUCAGGGUUUUGGUAACGUUGGCAUGCACUCCAUGCGUUACCUACACCGUUUCGGGGCCAAGUGUGUUGGUGUUGGAGAGAUGGAUGGAAACAUCUGGAACCCCAAUGGCAUCGACCCCAAGGAGCUGGAGGACUACAAGCUGCAACACGGCACCAUCGUGGGCUUCCCCAACUCCACGCCAUACGAAGGCAGCAUCCUGGAGGCCGACUGUGACAUCCUGAUCCCGGCCGCCAGCGAGAAGCAACUGACCAGGAAUAACGCCCACAAAAUCAAGGCCAAGAUCAUUGCUGAAGGAGCCAAUGGACCCACCACCCCUGACGCUGAUAAGAUCUUCCUGGAGAGGAAUAUCAUGGUGAUUCCGGACAUGUACCUGAACGCUGGUGGAGUGACUGUCUCCUACUUUGAGUGGCUGAAGAACCUCAACCAUGUCAGCUACGGUAGACUGACCUUCAAGUAUGAGAGGGACUCCAACUACCACCUGCUCAUGUCCGUCCAGGAGAGUCUGGAGAGGAAGUUUGGGAAGCAUGGGGGAGCAAUCCCAGUGGUCCCUACCUCUGAGUUCCAGGCCAGGAUCGCUGGCGCUUCAGAGAAGGACAUUGUGCACUCAGGACUGGCCUACACCAUGGAGAGGUCUGCCAGGCAAAUCAUGCGCACAGCUAACAAGUACAACCUGGGCCUCGACCUGAGGACGGCAGCGUACGUCAACGCCAUCGAGAAGGUCUUCAAGGUGUACAACGAGGCUGGUCUUACCUUCACAUAGGUGGCACCUCCACAGCCUCUGUCCAUCCGAGCAGACCCAGGGCCCCGCCUCUCCCAGCCUCCAAGCAACCUUUAUAAAAUCUUUAUAUAACGUUCACGCGUUUACAUUUUACACAUGACCGUUAGCUUUACUCUUUGCAUAUGUAUUUCAAGCAAAUCAAUACACAUUAUUUUGCAUUCUCAUAUUAUCAAGAGACCACAUGUUCUAGUUUGCUUUGAAUCUGCUGUUAUGAAACUACUGUGCCUAUGGUUAUUUUUUUUGCCUGUAGUCAUUCCAUCGAUUGAAUUGCUGUUACUAUAUUAUUAUGCCAGGUAACACCAAAAACUCUGGUCUGCAGCUUUUACAGGCUAGUUCUUUUCUGAAUUAGUGCUGUGCUUGUUCAGUGUCUGUUACGGACAUACUGUUACUUCACUGACAGAGUUGAAGAAGUUGGUUAACAGAAUGUAGAGCAGUGACACACGUAAAGCCUUAAUUUAUCCUGUGUUGAAGUGGAGUAGGUUAAUCAUUUUUAUCUGUACCAGAAUGUUUUUUCUAUUUAAGGUCAGUCUUCUUACAGUAUAAAGCAGUGUCUACACUUCAGGGUGAUAAAAUGUGUUAGUAAGCAGAUUUAUUAUGUUACUCUGUUGACAUGACACUAAAAGGAUCAAUUCCAGAAGAUUGUUCUCUGUUGUUACUGGUGUUUGCUUGGGCAGCCACAGUUUGUUUGAGUGUCUUUCUCUGUGUUUUUGCCUUUGUUUAAUUCUUUGUCUCGGCUCAGAACUUGAUCAAGGUUGGUUUGCCUUUGUUUAAUUCUUUGUCUCGGCUCAGAACUUGAUCAAGGUCGGUGUGGUUUUUGUGCUGAAUCCUUAGGGCUAAUGGAAGGGGAGAAUAUGUGGGAACAACAUUUUUCUUUUUCUUUAUAUCAGCCUUUGACUGCUUCAGGAUUCUAUGUAACAUCAUUUGUAUAGCCUUUUCAUUGAAGAAUUCAUUAAACUACAAAACGAUUGAUUGUGUUGAUUCAAACCAAACUAUGAUUCCCUAUGGGGUAUGUACAAGAUUUUUCCAUGUAAGCAAAUCCUGUUUAUUUUGUAUAUCAACAGCUAGUUAUUGGCUGCAUAAUCCCCACUGUACCUAUUUCAUCCAACACUACAACCUCUACAGAAUGGGUGUCCCGAUACCGGGACGGUUGUUGUUAACGUGCGCUAAUGUGACUAUAAUGACGUAAGUAACAGCCAACUUUCCAGGACAUAGACUUGUCUUAUAUGGGCAGAAAGUUGAAAUUCUUGUUAAUCUUACUGAAGUGUCUUAAUUUACUGUAGCUAUUGCAGUGAAAAAUGGCAUGCUAUUGUUUGAGAGUGCACAAUAAACUUUUUUAUCUCGG